GGUAUCCUUUCCGUGCCUGCCUGUCAACCCGUCCCCAUAGAGACCGCCCGGAGCCGCCGCCGUGCAGAUCGGGGCGCGAGAAGGGGGUUCCGUCCUGCACCCCAUCCGGAUCAAGAAUGGAAGGUCUUUAAAGGGAGAGAGACAGAGAAUGGCAACGGCAACUGAGAGAAGCGGCAUCCAGUGUCUGUGAUCGGGAUCUGGGCUUCUACCCCCCUCUCCCCUCUGUGGUUCCUUCUGUCCAUUUGCCGUGCUAUUGAUCAGCCCCGGGAGGAAA